ACUUCCAGAUCUUGGGUCUUCUCAUAUCACUGGACAGUACAACAUGCCUGAAGUGAUUGUGCAGAACACUUCAUAAAAGAAAAUGGAGACUCCUAAAUCCAGUCAAACUACUUCUGUUGGAAAAAAAUAAGUAUGGGCAGAGAAACAUCUCUUUCUUCUAAAAUCAGCUUUAAACUGGAAGAUAGCACAACUACUUUAUUGUGCAGGAUGUGGAGGAAAACUGAUGCAGAAUGAAAACUGGAAGGAUUUCAAAGAGGAAUAAAAAGGACUGAGGCUGUAGAUGAGGGCGUAACUGGAUGUUAUUGAGAGAAAAUCUAACCUGCAGGCAGCCCUGGGUACCAUCUCACCCCUGCACCGAGUGCUGAAACGCCUACUUUCUGUUGGGAAACGCCUACCUGCUGACCUCCCUGUGUCCUGGGAAGCCUCGGGGAUUUUUGUUUCGAUACUCCAGAGGUGCCCUGUAAUCCCUGAACCCUACUGAAUUCACGCCCUGGUGAUAUAUAAAUGUUAAAGGGAUGCAACUGGUAAUUCUGCCUGGCUGUUAAACUGCCUUGUGCCACUCUAUUUCUAAAGGCUGCUAUCAAUGGCCACUGUGAGACCUCCAAAACACUGCAGUGGAGCCCAAGCCCUGAGCCUAGGUGAAGAUUCAGCAAUGCACAAGCCGUGCUCUGGCAGAGAUGGGAAACCUGAGAUGUCCUUGCUUGAAACCCAGAAGUGGAGCCAAGGAACUGUUCCCAAACUUCUUGUAUUAUUGAUGCCUCAUUUCCUCAUUAAUGCCACAAAGAUUUAUGUGAAGGGACUUCCACGGUGCUAACGGAAUUACCCACCUAAAUCUCCCCCGUGCCGAUGGCAGGGAACGCUCCGGUUCUUUGCCCUCACGUUAGUGCCGGUGGUCUUGUUAAAGUGCUUCUGUAGCCAAGGAGCCUUCCUGAAAUGCUUGGAGUGACUGGAUUCAUCACUGAACCCACCUCCCUGAGAGCCAGAACAGGAGUGGUUUCAUUCACAAAGACUUGCUGCCAGGUCUCAUUAGUGCAGCUUUCUUUUUUAUCUACCACCCACCGGUCUCCUCACUUGAUCCUUUUCCCCAGCUGGAUGCUCUGAAGUUCACACUUGGUUUUGGUGCCUCCAGGCUAUGGGAUAAAAAGUAAGCACAGCACCAGCAAUGGAGAAUUCAGUUUCUUGACCUUUUCAGUAGCCCCUGUUUGAUGAGAAGAACCAGUAGACAGAAGAAGCAGGAGGGUGUCUUCGCAGCUACCUGGCUGGAAAUCCAGGGUAGCUCCCUUUAACUAUGAAUUCAAUGCGGCAACUUAAAAUGUGCCUCCACUAGCAGCUGCCUUUCACUGGAUUUACUUGACUGGGCUUCGUUGUUAUUUAUCGUCCUACUAAUUUCUGUGUCACUGUGUGGAUGUGUCAUACGUCAUGUGUGACACAUCACUAGAAGUUAUUGUGAUGUAUUCUUUUUUCCCAUUAAAUCAUGGACAGAGAUACUGAGCAGCAUGGGGCCAAUGUACAGCCCACAGGGACCUGUCAGAAAUACUCUAGUGGAUGAGGAUUUCACCAGUCGCCAUUCCGUUUGAAUAGCUUUCAUUUAGUCACUUUUGUUGAGAAAUGCAGCACACUGAUUUCAUUCUGCCCCGUGAACCCACAGGCAGAGUAGUUGCACGACAUACAGUCACUCAGUUCAGAUAACGUGUGGUGAAGGAAAACCCUCCCAAAUACAGAGCAGAAAACUGAUUCUACUCAAUAGUCUCAUAUAUGCCAUGCUGUUAUGAACCACCUAUUUGAAUAAAAAUUUCAGAAAGGUCAUCUAAGUGCUUGGCUGGGAAGUUGGGUGUCUUGAAAACUCUGGAGUGGCUUUAUUGCAGUGGGGUAAAAAGACUUUUUGGUCAAACACCUUUAAAAAAGUGUGAGGCAAAUGUUUGGGUCUGGUAACCUCCAGGGAAGUUGUGCGAGCAUGCAGCUGUGAUGGGGUGGCAUGCAAUGCAGAGAAUGAUUACAGUCCAGAUUAAAGCAGUCAGGAUAAUAUCACUGAAGUCACUCAAAUUAGUUUGUAUUUACACCAAUGUGAGUGAAAGCACAGCUUGCAUUUUUGCCUAGAAGACUAGCUUCUGAAAAAAACCAACAAAUUGAAUAUGGUGCAGUCACAGAUCUCCAUUAACUGUAGAAAGGGAUU